CGAGUUACCGCUCCUUAUAACCCUUUGUGAACAUUCCCCAAACGUUGCCUCGGCGGGCAGCCGGAGCCCAGCUCCGGCGCCCGGAGCCGCCGUCUCGGUGCGCCCCACCCGCCGGAGGACCACUAAACUCUAUUUAAACGACGUCUCUUCUGAGUGGCACAAGCAAAUAAUCA
rnacentral:misc_RNA from 1 species